rnacentral:rRNA from 1 species
UACGUAGGCAGCGAGCGUUGUUCGGAAUUACUGGGCGUAAAGAGUGUGUAGGCGGUGCUCUAAGUUCGGUGUGAAAUCUCCCGGCUUAACUGGGAGGGUGCGCCGGAAACUGGAGUGCUCGAGCGUGGGAGAGGAAAGCGGAAUUCCUGGUGUAGCGGUGACAUGCGUAGAUAUCAGGAGGAACACCUGCGGUGUAGACGGCUUUCUGGACCAUUGCUGACGCUGAGACACGAAAGCGUGGGUAGCAAACAGG